rnacentral:tRNA from 1 species
AAAUAAGAAACAAUUUUUGUAUUUAGUUUCGACCUAAAAUUUAGACUUUUAGUCCUUAUUUU